CCCUAGAUAGCUUGGACGGUAGAGCGUCUGCCUAGUAAGCGCUAGGUCGCGGGUUCGAUUCCCGCCUGGGGC
rnacentral:tRNA from 1 species